rnacentral:rRNA from 1 species
UAGGGAAUCUUCGGCAAUGGGGGGAACCCUGACCGAGCAACGCCGCGUGAGUGAAGAAGGUUUUCGGAUCGUAAAGCUCUGUUGUUAAGGAAGAACGAGUGUGAGAAUGGAAAGUUCAUGCUGUGACGGUACUUAACCAGAAAGGGACGGCUAACUACGUGCCAGCAGCCGCGGUAAUACGUAGGUCCCGAGCGUUGUCCGGAUUUAUUGGGCGUAAAGCGAGCGCAGGCGGUUAGAAAAGUCUGAAGUGAAAGGCAGUGGCUCAACCAUUGUAGGCUUUGGAAACUGUUUAACUUGAGUGCAGAAGGGGAGGGUGGAAUUCCAGGUGUAGCGGUGAAAUGCGUAGAUAUAUGGAGGAACGCCGGUGGCGAAAGCGGCUCGCUGGUCUGUAACUGACGCUGGGGCUCGAAAGCGUGGGGAGCGAACAGG